rnacentral:rRNA from 1 species
GUCUACGGCCAUACCACCCUGAACGCGCCCGAUCUCGUCUGAUCUCGGAAGCUAAGCAGGGUCGGGCCUGGUUAGUACUUGGAUGGGAGAGAAGAGGGUGAAUUCCAACAGUAUUCA